UUAGUGAGUCUAUGAGGAGAACAUCUGGAUAUGUUUUUCCUUGUAAGCUGUGGUUGCCGCCAAUGCUCGUGUGUGUGUGCGUGUGCGUGUGCGUGUGCGUGCGCGUGUGUGUGUGUGUGUGUGUGUGUGCGAAUGAGAAUGUGAGUGUUUUCCUGGUUCAGUGUGUCAGGGCUUUGUAUUCCAUAUUGUUGUUCAAUAAACUGCCAUCGCAUAGAACAUUAGAGACAAUUCGCCGGUACCUCUCAGUUCCCUCUGUGCUGCAGGUACAAUUUGAUAGAAUGCGGAGGAAAAACAAAACGAUUUUUCCCAAGCACAUCAAUAGCUGAAGUGUAUUUUUAGACACUCAAGUUCUCGUAGCCACUUAGAAUUUGUCGCUUCGGCCAAAACACAGAAUUUGCAGCUGUAUUUUCUUUUUUCUCCUUUUUUUUUGGUUGGUUGGAUGGGAAAAAGAGAGUGAAGCAAGUUCAUGGUUUCAAAGGACUGUGCUGCAAGUUAAUUGCAAUGAGUGCCAGUGCUAAAUUGUUGUCAAAAUGCCUUUUGAUAUAAUUUUUCAAAACAUUUGCUACAUAUAGGUAGUGCAAAAACAAAAGUGAAACUAAACACAUCGGUAUUGGGCCACUAAUAAGGGUUCAUCAAAAACUGAACAACAAAAACGCAUGCAUAAAUAUAUUUUUACAAAAAGUGUUUUGUAAGAGUGUUCUAAAAAAAUGACCUUCCUUCUCGUUUAUAGUAUAAAUCAAAUCUGGUGGAAAACAAAACGGAAUUUUUCAAGCAAAUGGGAACUGUUAACAAUGGAAGCCAAUUCCCAGCAUUAAUAAUAGUCAUACCAAGUGAAAUUUUUCACUUGUGUUGCUUUUGUGUAGACGCAGGUUUUUGGUCAUGAAAUAGAAAAAAAAUCUAGAGUGGUUGAAAAAAAAUACUCAUAAUUACAUAUGCGGGAAUGAGCUUUCAAAAUUAACUGACUUAAAAAAAAGCUCACAUUGGCUAACCAUUACUAGUUUUUUUUUUUUUUUUUUUAUGAUUCCUGGACUCGCCCUGUCCAACACUCGCACUUACAGAGCAACGUGUACCGUUGAGAAUAAAAUGUGCAACGUACUUACCAUUGAGGAAUGAUAGCUGAAGAAAUCCAAACGUCAAAAGUGUCUACCUCAGCACGGUAAUGUGUGCAGCCGAAUGAACAGCAUGGCCACCAGUCAUACUUGAUUGGAUGAAUUUUGACCCAACAAAACGAUUAUAGGCAUUUAACCCAAUAAAUGUUUCAUUUGAUUCUACAGUUUGGCUACUUUCAUAAGAAAUAACCCAGAAUUUUGACCAAACACACACAAAAUCUAAAAAUUGAGUGAAUGAAAUAACCCAACUUUUUUUGUUUUUUUUUAAGAGUCUUGUGCAACUUUAUAUUCAAAUUGUAACUGUGUCGGAGGCUUUCCACAGAUUGAUGUGACAUGUCUUGACAAAGUGCUGUGUAUCUAUUCCCUCCCGUGUGUGCUCACUCUAAGCAAUAGGGAGAAAAAUCCCACCUGGGAUGAAAGAAGUGUGCGCUGGUGGCCACAUCAAAAUAUCUUUCAAAGUGGUUGCAUGUGCUCGGAAAUAUGCAGAAAGGAAACACAUGCACACACACACACACACACACACACGCAUAGAGCGACAGAUUUAAUGCAGCAACUGCACUCAGAAUAAUUUAAAACAGGAAGUUUUUUUUUUUACUUGAUGAUAGGCCUGGGAUUGCAAUCAUGUCCUUUUUCUUUAUCUCCCCCACCCUCCCAAGCUAACAGCUAGCACCAAAUCUUUAAUUCCACUGAUGGAGCACCACUGAGUGAGUGUGCGGCGUUUCCCAGUUAGAAGUGACCACAUGCUGGGUCUGAAGGUAGCCACACAAACACACUGCACGGACAAUGAACGACAGGUUUCCAAACAACAAAUAAGUUCAGCCAACUCAGCAUAACUGCACACCAUUAUGACCACGGCGCAGAACUGAACAGUCCAGAUGGAUGGAGUUCCGGAUGCUUGAUGGAUGUGCCAAAAAGGCUGCAAAGUCAUCAAGGAGGUGGCCGAGUGAUGUUGUAGGCUGACAAAGUGGAGUGAGAUG